rnacentral:rRNA from 1 species
UUAAGCGACUAAGCGUACACGGUGGAUGCCCUGGCAGUCAGAGGCGAUGAAGGACGUGCUAAUCUGCGAUAAGCGUCGGUAAGGUGAUAUGAACCGUUAUAACCGGCGAUUUCCGAAUGGGGAAACCCAGUGUGUUUCGACACACUAUCAUUAACUGAAUCCAUAGGUUAAUGAGGCGAACCGGGGGAACUGAAACAUCUAAGUACCCCGAGGAAAAGAAAUCAACCGAGAUUCCCCCAGUAGCGGCGAGCGAACGGGGAGCAGCCCAGAGCCUGAAUCAGUGUGUGUGUUAGUGGAAGCGUCUGGAAAGGCGCGCGAUACAGGGUGACAGCCCCGUACACAAAAAUGCACAUACUGUGAGCUCGAUGAGUAGGGCGGGACACGUGGUAUCCUGUCUGAAUAUGGGGGGACCAUCCUCCAAGGCUAAAUACUCCUGACUGACCGAUAGUGAACCAGUACCGUGAGGGAAAGGCGAAAAGAACCCCGGCGAGGGGAGUGAAAAAGAACCUGAAACCGUGUACGUACAAGCAGUGGGAGCACGCUUCGGCGUGUGACUGCGUACCUUUUGUAUAAUGGGUCAGCGACUUAUAUUCUGUAGCAAGGUUAACCGAAUAGGGGAGCCGAAGGGAAACCGAGUCUUAACUGGGCGUUAAGUUGCAGGGUAUAGACCCGAAACCCGGUGAUCUAGCCAUGGGCAGGUUGAAGGUUGGGUAACACUAACUGGAGGACCGAACCGACUAAUGUUGAAAAAUUAGCGGAUGACUUGUGGCUGGGGGUGAAAGGCCAAUCAAACCGGGAGAUAGCUGGUUCUCCCCGAAAGCUAUUUAGGUAGCGCCUCGUGAAUUCAUCUCCGGGGGUAGAGCACUGUUUCGGCAAGGGGGUCAUCCCGACUUACCAACCCGAUGCAAACUGCGAAUACCGGAGAAUGUUAUCACGGGAGACACACGGCGGGUGCUAACGUCCGUCGUGAAGAGGGAAACAACCCAGACCGCCAGCUAAGGUCCCAAAGUCAUGGUUAAGUGGGAAACGAUGUGGGAAGGCCCAGACAGCCAGGAUGUUGGCUUAGAAGCAGCCAUCAUUUAAAGAAAGCGUAAUAGCUCACUGGUCGAGUCGGCCUGCGCGGAAGAUGUAACGGGGCUAAACCAUGCACCGAAGCUGCGGCAGCGACACUAUGUGUUGUUGGGUAGGGGAGCGUUCUGUAAGCCUGUGAAGGUGUACUGUGAGGUAUGCUGGAGGUAUCAGAAGUGCGAAUGCUGACAUAAGUAACGAUAAAGCGGGUGAAAAGCCCGCUCGCCGGAAGACCAAGGGUUCCUGUCCAACGUUAAUCGGGGCAGGGUGAGUCGACCCCUAAGGCGAGGCCGAAAGGCGUAGUCGAUGGGAAACAGGUUAAUAUUCCUGUACUUGGUGUUACUGCGAAGGGGGGACGGAGAAGGCUAUGUUGGCCGGGCGACGGUUGUCCCGGUUUAAGCGUGUAGGCUGGUUUUCCAGGCAAAUCCGGAAAAUCAAGGCUGAGGCGUGAUGACGAGGCACUACGGUGCUGAAGCAACAAAUGCCCUGCUUCCAGGAAAAGCCUCUAAGCAUCAGGUAACAUCAAAUCGUACCCCAAACCGACACAGGUGGUCAGGUAGAGAAUACCAAGGCGCUUGAGAGAACUCGGGUGAAGGAACUAGGCAAAAUGGUGCCGUAACUUCGGGAGAAGGCACGCUGAUAUGUAGGUGAAGUCCCUCGCGGAUGGAGCUGAAAUCAGUCGAAGAUACCAGCUGGCUGCAACUGUUUAUUAAAAACACAGCACUGUGCAAACACGAAAGUGGACGUAUACGGUGUGACGCCUGCCCGGUGCCGGAAGGUUAAUUGAUGGGGUUAGCGGUAACGCGAAGCUCUUGAUCGAAGCCCCGGUAAACGGCGGCCGUAACUAUAACGGUCCUAAGGUAGCGAAAUUCCUUGUCGGGUAAGUUCCGACCUGCACGAAUGGCGUAAUGAUGGCCAGGCUGUCUCCACCCGAGACUCAGUGAAAUUGAACUCGCUGUGAAGAUGCAGUGUACCCGCGGCAAGACGGAAAGACCCCGUGAACCUUUACUAUAGCUUGACACUGAACAUUGAGCCUUGAUGUGUAGGAUAGGUGGGAGGCUUUGAAGUGUGGACGCCAGUCUGCAUGGAGCCGACCUUGAAAUACCACCCUUUAAUGUUUGAUGUUCUAACGUUGACCCGUAAUCCGGGUUGCGGACAGUGUCUGGUGGGUAGUUUGACUGGGGCGGUCUCCUCCUAAAGAGUAACGGAGGAGCACGAAGGUUGGCUAAUCCUGGUCGGACAUCAGGAGGUUAGUGCAAUGGCAUAAGCCAGCUUGACUGCGAGCGUGACGGCGCGAGCAGGUGCGAAAGCAGGUCAUAGUGAUCCGGUGGUUCUGAAUGGAAGGGCCAUCGCUCAACGGAUAAAAGGUACUCCGGGGAUAACAGGCUGAUACCGCCCAAGAGUUCAUAUCGACGGCGGUGUUUGGCACCUCGAUGUCGGCUCAUCACAUCCUGGGGCUGAAGUAGGUCCCAAGGGUAUGGCUGUUCGCCAUUUAAAGUGGUACGCGAGCUGGGUUUAGAACGUCGUGAGACAGUUCGGUCCCUAUCUGCCGUGGGCGCUGGAGAACUGAGGGGGGCUGCUCCUAGUACGAGAGGACCGGAGUGGACGCAUCACUGGUGUUCGGGUUGUCAUGCCAAUGGCACUGCCCGGUAGCUAAAUGCGGAAGAGAUAAGUGCUGAAAGCAUCUAAGCACGAAACUUGCCCCGAGAUGAGUUCUCCCUGACUCCUUGAGAGUCCUGAAGGAACGUUGAAGACGACGACGUUGAUAGGCCGGGUGUGUAAGCGCAGCGAUGCGUUGAGCUAACCGGUACUAAUGAACCGUGAGGCUUAACCUU